rnacentral:lncRNA from 1 species
AACAAAAUGCAAAGUGUCUAUCUUUGUAUUUAAUUUCUAAUUACGAAUUUAUCAAUAGAAGUUUUAGAAAAUUGAUACUAUUUGUUAUUAGUUUGAGAGGCAUCAAUGCCUAAUUGAAAAUUUUCUAAGAAGAGUAUUACUUGAAUAGAUGUUAUGAAAAUAUAAAUAUGGGUUGUUGAGCAAUUGCCUUAAAGAGGAGAUGCCAAGGGGGCAUGGACAAUUUAGUGUCCAGUAUGAGUUGCAAUUGCAUAAGAAGUGGAGAGUAAGUAUGGAGUCAAUAAGAGGUAAACACUAGACGUGGAGAGGGUGGUAGAAAGUAGAGAUUGUCUGUAGUACAUUAAAAGGCUUGCUUGUUGCAACCUAUGACUUCAACUAAUGUAAGGGAAGAUGAGCUCCAUAAGAAAGCUAUUUGUGAAGCCUCCAAGGGUAAGUGGGAUUGCAAUCUAUGACUUCAAAUAAUGCCUGGUCAUCUUUGCUGACAGAAUGUUUGUCCCAUCCGAAGCAGGAGCUGAGAAUGAAGGCUUGUCCAAUUCAUGGACUGACAGAUUCACUGACUGAGGGACGAACUCCCUAAGAAUGAAUGAAUCAGACGGAUGGACAAACCGGACGGUUGCUAUGAUCAUCUUUGUAGGGAGGGGAGGGGAGGGGGGGGAUUGGGUUUUAUUAUGAAACGGAGGAAACAAAGAUUUAAUCCGCGAAUGGCGUGGUGCCAAGUGUGAGUAUUAGCACGUGGGAGCACGUGGGGACAUGGGGCUUGUCAUGUGAUGGGGAGGGGUUGGGCACCUCUGGGCAGCAGGCCCACAAUAGCAAAAUGAAAAGAGAAGAGAAGUGAAGAGAGAGCAAACGACAGAUAGAUUUAUGGAUAGCUUCAGGAAGGAGGGAAGGAAGGAGGGAAGCUGCUUCAAGUAAGUCUGGGCUUGAUUUCACGACAGCAUCAUCGUCAUCCCACUUGGGGGGGUUGCAAGUGUGGGGUUGCAGUCAGGCAGGCCAAUAGGCAAACAGGCAGGGAGGUUCAAAUUCAAGUGAUCCUUUUUUCUUCUUCUUCUUAUAUUGCGGGGGGCCCGAGCUCCUCCUGCUGCUCUCGUCGUUUUCAAUCAAUCAAUCAAUCAAUCAUUUUCUCCAGCUCAUACGCUCCACUGCUAAGUGCCCGCUUGAUCAAGAGAAUCUCUUUCUGGCAAAGGGGGCACAGCAGGAAAAGGAGUAAGGAAGGGAAGGGAAGAGAGGAGGGGGAGGGGGUAUUAUUAUUAAGAUUUCCCCUGUGCCCAGUAUUUCUGCUGACAGUCUCUGUCUCCCCCUACAUCCCAGAGACAGAGGCCAAGACCUACAAUAAAAACACAAAGACAGGGGAGGGGGCAGUGCCCAUGAGUGUCCCCAUCAGUGUAGCCUCUGUGUGUGUGUGUGUGUCUCUAUGUGGGUGUCUGUAGGUGUGUGUUCGCCCCAACAAUAGCACCACGGCCCUUGUAGAUAAGACCCUACCCCAAUUGUCGACACUUGGUGAAAUUGUAGGCUCUGAGAAAGCUCAAUCUUCUGGGAACUCGUACAACUGUCCUCAACUGCGUUCCCGACCAUCGCAAGAAUGGGGAACACGUUCCCCUGCGUGAAUGCAACUGAGG